AACGAACGCUGGCGGCGUGCCUAACACAUGCAAGUCGAGCGAGAAAGUCCGCAAGGAUGAGUAAAGCGGCGCACGGGUGCGUAACACGUGGGUAAUCUUCCUUGGAGCCCGGAAUAACUCCCCGAAAGGGGUGCUAAUGCCGGAUAAGCCCACGGGAACCUUGGUUCCUGAGGGAAAGGUGGCCUCUGCACGCAAGCUACCACUCCUAGAUGAGCCCGCGGCCCAUCAGCUAGUUGGCGGGGUAAUGGCCCACCAAGGCUACGACGGGUAGCUGGUCUGAGAGGACGAUCAGCCACACUGGAACUGAGACACGGUCCAGACUCCUACGGGUGGCAG
rnacentral:rRNA from 1 species